GAUGAACGCUAGCGGCAGGCCUAAUACAUGCAAGUCGGACGGGAUUCAGGAGCUUGCUUCUGAUGAGAGUGGCGCACGGGUGCGUAACACGUAUGUAACCUACCUUUAUCAGGGGGAUAGCCUCUCGAAAGAGAGAUUAAGCCCGCAUAAAAUCACAGCACAGCAUUGUGUAAUGAUCAAAUAUUUAUAGGAUAAAGAUGGGCAUGCGGAACAUUAGCUAGAUGGCGGGGUAACGGCCCACCAUGGCGACGAUGUUUAGGGGAUCUGAGAGGAUGGCCCCCGACACUGGUACUGAGACACGGACCAGACUCCUACGGGAGGCAGCAGUAAGGAAUAUGGGGCAAUGGGCGGAAGCCUGAACCAGCCAUGCCGCGUGCAGGAAGACGGCCCUACGGGUUGUAAACUGCUUUUAUACGCGAAUAAACCCAGAUACGUGUAUCUGGCUGAAUGUACUGUAAGAAUAAGGAUCGGCUAACUCCGUG
rnacentral:rRNA from 1 species